AGUAAGCUCUCUCUCUCUUUCUCUCUCUCUCUCAUUCUCUCUCUCUCACACAAACACACACCCCACGGUAGCAGUACUAGGUUGCCCUUAAUGCUCUGAAUCCUUUUCCAGGCUGCUACACUUCCAGUUCCUGAAACAGAGCUUGUCCAACAAGACGAAUUCCCAAGAACGUGCUGUGACUUCUGUUCCAGCAUGUUGGUUUAGAAAGAAAAGCUUCAGAGUCUGAUUUCGAGACCUGGAUUUGGCCUCUGGCUCUGCCACUUUCCACCUAUGUGAUCUUGCGCAAGCCACUCGAUCUCCCCGAGCCUCAAUUUCCUCAUCCAUAAAGAGCUUGCUUAUGAGCACACCUCUGACUGAGGUCCACAGGACUCAAGAUUCCUCCAGCCAUCACUCUCCACUACAAAUGCCACAAAAAUGAAAGUUUGACCACACACACACAUAAGUACUAGAUGGGAAACACUGAAGAGAUACACCAUGAGGAGGGAGAAAAAACAAAAAGCCAAAAAAUCUUAGUGUAUCAACUGCACAUUCCUACCACAUGGAGAUCUGGCAAUGAAGUGUCUUGAGGAUUUUGGGGUUUUUUUUUUUGUUUGUUUUUUAAACUAAGAAUAACUGUAAUAUGCCAGAGAAUUUUGAAUCAGCCUUAUCUGUAGUCUCAAAUGAAUAUACUCAAAAGUCAUAUUAUAGCAGAAAUUCAAAUAUCUUGAUUGCAUAUUGAGGAUAAUAUAAUGGUGGAACAACUAGUUUGUCAAAUAGGUGAUCAGGAUGGAAUAAAAAUGCAUUCUUGGUUGUCUUCUAUCCCAAUGAGCUAAAGUAAUAUUGCAUUUAUAACUUUUCAAUACAUUAUGGUCAUAUUGUUUCCUCAUGCAUGUUUUAUUUGUUCUUUUUAUAGCUUAAAUGAAUUGUUCCUUUUCUUCUGGAACUCUAAACAUUAUGCUAGGUUUUCAAGGCUGGUGCUUGUGAUAGGGGAAGAGAAUAAUGCCUGUGUGUGUAAGGUGCUUGAUGUUUCUCAGAGGCCUUUCUUAUAUGCAAUCCUCAUUUAAUCUUUAUACACACCCUCCAAAGCAAGGCAUACCCAUUUUUAGACAAGGAAAAAGACACUCACAUGGUAAGAAGAGCUACUGGAAUCUGGACCCUGCUGUCAUUAUUGCUCCUGGACAUUAGAUGCUGACUGUUAUAGCCAUCGAUAAUGCUGCCACUAGAAUGAUGGUCAAAUUAUCUCUACUUCUUUGCAUCAUUCUUAUAGUCAUAAAAUUCAAGACAAGAACGUCUGCUUAACCGAGCUUAGGUCUCAUGUACAUGCACUAACUGGCAAGAUUUCAAGUGAACCAGCACCUUGUCUUUUUUGGGCUUCUGCUGUGAAAUGAAAAUCCUUCAUCUAACAAGACACAACAUGAUACAUUCUCCAAACACAGGAGGAAGUUUAAAUUCAGAAGAGUAGAUUUUAUUAUUACCAUUAUAGUGAGCAUCUAUUCUACCCAUGGGAGCCUAUCAUCUUUUGAGUCUUUUCUCUAUAUUUGGAGACAUAUCCAAAUUAUGAGUUGCUAUAUAGGAGUCAUAGUGCAAAUUUCCAGCUGCCCUUGCAGCUAGGAUUCAGGCACAUGAAUUAGUUGGUGUGAAUCAAGGACACCAUAUCAUUAUAAGAUUUUGAUUCAAGGCCAGCUGCAGUGGCUCAUGCCUGUAAUCCCAGCACUUUGGGAGGCC